UCUGGUGGAUAUAGUUGUAGGGCAACACCCGUUCCCAUUCCGAAUACGGAAGUAAAGUCUACAACGUCGAUGAUACUUGGCUGGAGACGGCCCGGGAAAGCAGAUACUGCCAGGA
rnacentral:rRNA from 1 species